rnacentral:rRNA from 1 species
CCUACGGGAGGCAGCAGUGGGGGAUAUUGCACAAUGGGGGGAACCCUGAUGCAGCGACGUCGCGUGGGUGAAGAAGCGCCUCGGCGCGUAAAGCCCUGUCAGCAGGGAAGAAAAUGACGGUACCUGAAGAAGAAGCCCCGGCUAACUACGUGCCAGCAGCCGCGGUACUACGUAGGGAGCAAGCGUUAUCCGGAUUUACUGGGUGUAAAGGGGGCGCAGACGGCGGUGCAAGCCAGGAGUGAAAGCCCGGGGCCCAACCCCGGGACUGCGCUUGAAACUGCGUGGCUGGAGUGAAGGAGGGGCAGGCGGAAUGCCUGGUGUAGCGGUGAAAUGCGUAGAUAUCAGGAAGAACACCGGUGGCGAAGGCGGCCUGCUGGACUGCAACUGACGUUGAGGCCCGAAAGCGUGGGGAGCGAACAGGAUUAGAUACCCGUGUAGUC